UCAAGAACAAGCUGAACGAAUAUUCAAUAUCUUAGUGUACCACAUAAAAACUCAUUAUGACAAUGGCUAUCGGACGUAUAUUGCAUCGGAAAUACGUCUUGCGAUUCUUCAAUGUUUCCUCAAUCUGCGAGCUGACAAUUGUCAACGUCUAGGCCUUGUGCAAGACAAAAGUGGGAAAGUUAAAUUCACUUCGUAUUUUGUUUGUUGUGAAAGGAAAAGUUCUGCAGAAG